AAAAAACCCCUUUGGCCACACUUAUCUCUGCAAAUUCAAAAAUAUCAAAACCUACAGAAAGAAGAUAAUGGCGGUGUCCUUGGGGUUAUUCUCGGUAUUCUCAACCGGCGUGACGGCGUCGUUUGCGAAGUCAGAUUCCUUCUCCUCCGUUAGGCUCGCUUCUCCGCUUGCAGCUCAUCAUGUUAAUAACCUGCGCACUGUGCGGACGGUCACUUUCGCGACGGCUUCUAAGCCGGUUGCUGAGCCGAAGAAGCGUGAACCUAGGGGUAUUAUGAAGCCGCGUAGAGUAUCGCCGGAAAUGCAGGCUUUUCUUGGUGGCAUGUCUGAAGUUCCUCGAACUCAAGCCCUCAAGUUGAUUUGGGCACACAUCAAAGCGAACGACCUUCAGGAUCCUCAAAACAAGAAGGUGAUAAUUUGUGAUGAGAAAUUGAAGACAAUUUUUGGAGGAAAGGAACGUGUUGGGUUCCUUGAGAUUGCUG
rnacentral:misc_RNA from 1 species